UUUUUUUUUUUUUUUUUUUUUUUAAGAAAAGGUUCAUAGACACCCUUUAGACAGGAAUUAAAAUUAUUGUUAGUUCUACCCAGUGUCAAAUUUUAUCAGUUAAUUAACUCGGAAAUUAAUGUUGUAGAACCUGAAGGCUGGUUCUAAAGAGAGUUUCACAAAGGGGGAGCAAUGUCGGAUGUACUAACAUCUCCAAAGUUCAAUGUUUAAACUAUAAGUAGGCUUAAUUUGGGAUUAUGGGAAAAAACACCUUAUAUGUGGCGAUAAAAAAAUAGUUUUUUUAAAAAAGUUUCGUGUCUAAAUUAUACGUUUUGUAUAUCAUAAUAAGUUGAUUACGAGCAGUCUCAUCAGAAACAAAAAAAAGUUAUGUUAUUUUAUGCUUUUCACUAGAAAACGAAGAAAUAUAUUUACGUACACUUUUAUCCCAGCUCUGUUUUGCCUACCAGUGUUAGGCUACGUUUGGGAUUGCGGGAAGAUUGCGUUACGAGCGGUGAAAAACGAUAUUGUUUUCGUACGUAAUAUUGCGUUCCGCAUAUUACGGUUAGUCGGUUACGAUAUAUUUUCUAUGAUCCCAUCAGAGAACGCAGAAGCAUAUCCCUAUAUGCUUUUCUCAACUCUAUUCUAUCUGAUAGUGUUAGAUUGACUCCAAUACCAAACUAAGCCUUAGUCGGCCUCAAAUUACAGAUCUCUUCUUUGUGGCCUCAUAUCCAUUAGCCUAUGAGCCAAUUAUCUUCAUGGGCCAGAUAAUAUAUUGGGCUGUUGAGAGUUUUUAGUAGGGCUUAGGGCAUGUUUGGUACGCCGGAAGUGAGGGGCCGAAGCCCGACAAAGCGAUAAUAUGUUCGGAGAAAAUGGUUUAUUCUCAACCUCACCGUAGCAGGUGAUCCUCUAUGUAGAGGUUGCAUCACAUCAGCUAUAUAUAUCUUAAGCCAAUUAAACUUCUUCAUUUCAGAAAAAAGUAUGAUGAGUCGAUAAAUUCUAUAAACAUAAUUUGAUUGGCUGAAGAUACGACGACGAAGUGUUACUAUCAUAGUUUAUACUUUUUCUCCACACGAGACUCUGAGAGCGCUAUAGAUUGGCCUUUUGAAAUACCAAACAUCGAUCAUAAUCUGGGAGCGCUAUGGAUUGGCUUUUCCAAGUACCAAACAGCCGCUUCUAUGAUGAGUUGAGAUCCCUAUCACUCUAACAUAUACUGUAUACAACAAAUAUCUAGAUCUCUUAUUUGCCCUCCCCACAUUUUCUAGUGCACAAAGUUUUUUUUUCACAAUAAUAAUUGAUUUUAUGCUCUAAGUAGGAAAAAUAAGAAAGGUUUCUUGAUAUGUAUGUAGUUAAGAAACUUAUAACUGAUUUCUUUUUUAUUUUUAGUUUUUGCAUAUCUAAUAUUCUUUUUUUCACACACACACACACACACACACACACACACACAUAUAUAUAUAUAUAUAUAUAUAUAUAUAUAUAUAUAUAUAUAUAUAUAUAUAUGGAGUUUGAUUGGACAACUAUCGAUAGUAAACUGCUCGGUUUACUACCGAUUUUAUUUUUGAUGAUAGAGCUUCCAAAUCGACGAUCGGCACCGUUGAAUAUGAUCUAGACCAUUUAAAUUAUCUAGAAAUAAAAUUUCAUGACACUGAAUGAUCAAAGGGUCACAAAAUCUAUAAUUUUAGUAGCCGAUAUGGUGCGUUUGCUCGUUUAACGGUAUAGAAGAGUUCAAAUCAACUAAAUUUUUAUUAGAAAAUUCUUUAAACUAUUUAAAAUAAGAUCUAGACUCUAGAUUUCAAAUAUAAAAAUUAUAUCAUCACUUUUUGAAAAAUAUUCAUUUUCAGCCGUNCUUUUUCU
rnacentral:lncRNA from 1 species